rnacentral:rRNA from 1 species
AUACGGAAGGUGCAAGCGUUAAUCGGAAUCACUGGGCGUAAAGCGCUCGUAGGUGGCUUUGUAAGUCAGGUGUGAAAGCCCACGGCUCAACCGUGGAAUUGCACUUGAUACUGCAUUGCUUGAGUUCGGGAGAGGGUAGUGGAAUUCCAGGUGUAGGAGUGAAAUCCGUAGAGAUCUGGAGGAACACCAGUGGCGAAGGCGGCUUACUGGUCCCCAUUACUGACGCUGAGGUGCGAAAGCGUGGGGAGC